UUCCAAUUUUACUCGCGAUCCCAGACGGACGUCUGAGGAAAAUACUCAAGUAGUGCAGUGAAAGGAAAAAUUCUGACCUCGACCGUAAUUACCGCGUGUCCAUCGUGGCUAAGAUCUAGUCAAAAGAUCAGCCGACCAUUCCUACGUUUAUUAAGCGAAGGCCGAACCCAUCGGGUUUGGCCGUACGUAAUACCGUACGAAACGCCGGUCGUAGUGCCGUAAGCCGUACCCACUACAGUCUCGUCACCUUACCACACAUAUAAAUACCCAGCGUCCCGAUCGACUACAGUAUGUG